GGGCCCGCACAAGCGGUGGAGUAUGUGGUUUAAUUCGAUGCAACGCGAAGAACCUUACCAGGGUUUGACAUCCUGCGAAUUUCUGGGAAACCGGAAAGUGCCUUCGGGAGCGCAGUGACAGGUGGUGCAUGGCUGUCGUCAGCUCGUGUCGUGAGAUGUUGGGUUAAGUCCCGCAACGAGCGCAACCCACGUCUUUAGUUGCCAGCAUUUAGUUGGGCACUCUAGAGAGACCGCCGGUGAUAAACCGGAGGAAGGUGUGGAUGACGUCAAGUCAUCAUGCCCCUUACAUCCUGGGCUACACACGUACUACAAUGCUACGGACAAAGGGCAGCAAACUCGCGAGAGCUAGCAAAUCCCAUAAAACGUUUCGUAGUCCGGAUCGCAGUCUGCAACUCGACUGCGUGAAGUCGGAAUCGCUAGUAAUCG
rnacentral:rRNA from 1 species